rnacentral:rRNA from 1 species
AGAGUUUGAUCAUGGCUCAGAUUGAACGCUGGCGCAUGCCUUACACAUGCAAGUCGAACGGUAACGGGCCUUCGGGUGCCGACGAGUGGCGAACGGGUGAGUAAUGCAUCGGAACGUACCUUCAGUGGGGGAUAACGUAGCGAAAGUUACGCUAAUACCGCAUAUUCUGUGAGCAGGAAAGCAGGGGAUCGCAAGACCUUGCGCUGAUUGAGCGGCCGAUGUCAGAUUAGCUAGUUGGUGAGGUAAAGGCUCACCAAGGCGACGAUCUGUAGCGGGUCUGAGAGGAUGAUCCGCCACACUGGAACUGAGACACGGUCCAGACUCCUACGGGAGGCAGCAGUGGGGAAUUUUGGACAAUGGGGGCAACCCUGAUCCAGCCAUGCCGCGUGAGUGAAGAAGGCCUUCGGGUUGUAAAGCUCUUUCGGCCGGGAAGAAAUCGCAUGGGUUAAUACCCUGUGCGGAUGACGGUACCGGCAUAAGAAGCACCGGCUAACUACGUG